rnacentral:rRNA from 1 species
CGGGGUAGGAGUAACGCGUGAGGAACCUGCCUCAAAGAGGGGGACAACAGUUGGAAACGACUGCUAAUACCGCAUAAGCCCACGGCUCGGCAUCGAGCAGAGGGAAAAGGAGCAAUCCGCUUUGAGAUGGCCUCGCGUCCGAUUAGCUGGUUGGUGAGGUAACGGCCCACCAAGGCGACGAUCGGUAGCCGGACUGAGAGGUUGAACGGCCACAUUGGGACUGAGACACGGCCCAG